AGAUUGAACGCUAGCGGGAUGCUUUACACAUGCAAGUCGAACGGCAGCGCGGACUUCGGUCUGGCGGCGAGUGGCGAACGGGUGAGUAAUAUAUCGGAACGUGCCCAGUAGCGGGGGAUAACUACGCGAAAGCGUGGCUAAUACCGCAUACGCCCUACGGGGGAAAGGGGGGAUCGCAAGACCUCUCACUAUUGGAGCGGCCGAUAUCAGAUUAGCUAGUUGGUGAGGUAAAGGCUCACCAAGGCGACGAUCUGUAGCUGGUUUGAGAGGACGACCAGCCACACUGGGACUGAGACACGGCCCAGACUCCUACGGGAGGCAGCAGUGGGAAUUUGGACAAUGGGGGAAACCCUGAUCCAGCCAUCCCGCGUGUGCGAGUGAACGGU
rnacentral:rRNA from 1 species